rnacentral:rRNA from 1 species
UACGAAGGGGGGCUAGCGUUGCUCGGAAUCACUGGGCGUAAAGCGCACGUAGGCGGAUUGCUAAGUCAGGGGUGAAAUCCUGGAGCUCAACUCCAGAACUGCCUUUGAUACUGGCGACCUUGAGUCCGGGGAGAGGUGAGUGGAACUGCGAGUGUAGAGGUGAAAUUCGUAGAUAUUCGCAAGAACACCAGUGGGCGAAGGCGGCUCACUGGCCCGGUACUGACGCUGAGGUGCGAAAGCGUGGGGAGCAAACAGG